rnacentral:lncRNA from 1 species
AUGCACUCAUGGCUGGCUUCCCAAAAGGACCGGAGAAGGGGUCAGUCCUUUCCUUUCCCUCCUUCCUUCCCCUUUCUUCCUCCCUUCCCUUUUUAUUUUCCUUCCUUCCUUCCUUCCUUUCCUUCCCUUUUUUCCUUUUUCUUCCCUUCCAUUCCUUUGUCCUUCCAUUCUCCUCCUCCCUUUUUUCUUUUCCUUUCUUCCUUUUCUCCCUUUUUCCUUCCUUUCCUUCUUUUUUCUCUUUUCCCUUCCCUUUCCUCCCUUCUUCCUUUCCUUCUUUCCUUCCUUCCCUUUUCCUUUUCUUUCCCUUCCAUUCCUUUGUCCUUUCCUUCCAUUUUUCCUUCCUUUUUUCUUUUCCUUUCUUCCCUUCUUUAUUCAUUCUCUUUUCCCUUUCUUCCCUUUCCCUUUCCUUCUUUCCGUCCUUCCCUUUCUCUCCCUCCCUCCUUCCUUGCUUUCUUUACUAACUGGUCUUUCCUUCCUUCUUUGCUUUCUUUCCUAACUUGUCCUUCCUUCCUUCCUUCCUUCCUUCCUUCCUUCCUUCCUUUCUUUCCUAACUUGUCUUUCCUUCCUUCCUUCCUUCUUUUCUUCCUUCCUUCCUUCCUUCUUUUCCUUCCUUCCUCUUCUCUCCUCCCUUCCUUCAUCCCUUCCUUCCUUCCCUCCUUCACCUGGGCGUCCUUCUUUUCUUCGCAGGGCGUUCCUUCCUUCCUUCCUUCCUUCAGAGAGGAGGCGGCGUCUGGAGCGUCUCCCUUCUCUCCUCCUUCUCCGACUUUUCCUCCUUCUUUCUUUCUUUCUUUCUUUCUUUCUUCCCUCUGCCCUCGGGAUGCCCCUGGAGGCGCUCGUGGCGUGGGCGUGGGGCGGGGGUGGGGCGGGGGCGCGGGUGGGGCUGGCCCUGUCCUCCUGGCUGCCCCUGGCCCCCCUGGCCUGCGCCUUCUUCUCCGCCCGACUCCUCCUCCUCCUGCCCCCCACCACCAGCCCCGACUGCCGCCCCCACGGGACCCCCAACGCCUCCCAGGCAGAGGAUACUGGAGACACUGGAGGAGGGGGCUUCGCCAACGCCAGCUGGACCCUGCCCUGCGCCCUCCUCCGCACCACCGCCGUCACCCAGUGGGGCUUGGUCUGCUCCGAGCAAUGGAAGGUCCCCUUGGAACAAGCCACUUUCCUCCUGGGGUGGAUUCUGGGCUACCUGGGCUUCGGUUCGGUUUGCGACAGGUUCGGACGCCGGACUGCCUUCGUCACCUCGCUGGUGCUCUCCGUCCCGCUGGGCUUCGCAGUCUCUUUAGCCACAAGUUACGCCAUGUUUGUUCUCACUCACCUGCUCUUCGGGGCAACCUUGGCCGGCGCCUUCCUCUCCCUCUACGUUGGCAGUGA